rnacentral:tRNA from 1 species
AAUUAGAAAGCGAAUAAUUGCAUUUAGUUUCGACCUGAAUUUUAGGCUUCAUAAAAGCCUUCUAAUUU